AUUAAUGAAUAAUAUUAUAAGCUUGUUUAGUUGUUUAAAAUUUUAAAUCAUAAUAAUUUAUUUUAAAACAAAAAAAUAUAAGUAUCAAUAUUUUCCAACUAACAGUACGUAACUCUGUAACAGUAGUAACUAAUUAAAGUUAUUAAAAACAAUGCUUUAAAAUACCAGUCGUUUAAAUCUUUUCAGCAAUAAUUAUUUUAAUAACAUCCAUGACCACAAUAACUUGCAUUCACUGUUUAAAUCGUUGCACGUUAACUGCAAGAAGUUUUUCUCGAAUCUAGAAUCCAGCACCAGUAAUAGUUAUUCUAUUUCUGUAAUGGUGUGUGCCCCCACUGAGCUUUCAUUGGACUUUGAAGAAUUCACAUAAAAAAUAUUAAUAAUUUUAAAUGAUUAUAUAAUAUUAUACUACUCAUACUUAUAUAAAUAAAAUAAAUUAAAUAUUUAUAAAUAAA